rnacentral:rRNA from 1 species
CCUACGGGUGGCAGCAGUGAGGAAUAUUGGUCAAUGGGCUUACGCCUGAACCAGCCCCGUCGCGUGAAGGAUGACUGCCCUAUGGGUUGUAAACUUCUUUUAUAUGGGAAUAAAAUGUUCCACGUGUGGGAUUUUGUAUGUCCCAUAUGCAUAAGGAUCGGCUAACUCCGUUCCCGCAGCCUCGGUACUACGGAGGAUCCGAGCGUUCUCCGGAUUUAUUGGGUUUAAAGGGAGCGUAGGGGGAUUGGUAAUUCAGUUGUGAAAGUUUGCGGGUCAACCGUAAAAUUGCAGUUGAAACUGGCAGUCUUGAGUACAGUAGAGGGGGGCGGAAUUCGUGGUGUAGCGGUGAAAUGCUUAGAUAUCACGAAGAACUCCGAUUGCGAAGGCAGUUCACUGGACUGCAACUGACACUGAGGCUCGAAAGUGUGGGUAUCAAACAGGAUUAGAUACCCGAGUAGUC